GAGGGAGGCCGCGUGCGGAUGCGGAUGCGGCGGCGAGGGGCACUCCGCCACGGCGGAGGGCGGGACGCGGCCGGUGAGCGGGAGGAGCGCGGAGGGGCGGAGCGAGAUCGGCGCGAAGGCGGAGGCCGGGGCGAGGGAGGCGAGGAGGGCGUCGUCGAGCGCGAAGCGGCGGGCCUCGGCAAGGAGCACGACGGAGGGAGGGGAGCCGCGGCGGCGCAGGGGAGAGGCGCGUCGACUUCGUGGUGCUGGGGGCGGAGGGAGCCGUGGCAGCGGAGGAGAGGCGGGGCGGCGGAGGGAGCCGCGGCGGUGGAGGAGAGCCGCGGCGGCGCAGGGGAGAGGCGCGGCGGCGGAGGAGAGCCGCGGCGGCGAAGGGAGCGCUCGGGAGGAAGGGGCGCUCGCGACGGGAGGCAGGCGGAUGGGUCUCGGGAGUAAAGAAACAAUCGUUUUUUCUGACCGGUGGCAAGGGGAGCAUCAUGCCUUAUGUAUACGAUAAAUGUGGAAAUAUUAGGAAGAGGGGGCAUAUAAAACAAUAUCGGAGGAAAAUCCCUCAUAAAGUGAGCACCAGGGUUUGAGCCUAGGUGCCACGUUCCUCUCCAAGGCACAACGCAAGAUCUCCACUGACAGAGAAACUACCGUUCAAAGUGGUGGCCAGCUAGCCUGCCUAGGCACUAAGCAUCACCCUACAGCCUGCCAAGCACCUAUGGAUGUUAAGAGCGUGUUAUUGAAGAGAGCUAAGCUGACAGUCACCAUGAUGCACAAAGGCACAUUAUGCAGCAAGUUUACCAUGACAAAAUUCUGACCAGAUUUUAACAAAUGAUGAACAAAACUGUAGAUCUAUUGAUCCUACUAUCACAGAAGGUGAUCAAUGAACGCUUGUAUCCUGAUCAGUUACACUAUGAGAACUGAACAACAACAAUACUUGAAGAUGUCAAUUUUUCAUCAAA